AUUGAACGCUGGCGGCAGGCCUAACACAUGCAAGUCGAGAGAGCGACGGACGGGUGAGUAAUGUAUGGGGACUGCCCGAUAGAGGGGGAUAACUACUGGAAACGGUAGCUAAUACCGCAUACUAUCGGAUAACCCAUAUGGGAUGAGCUAGUAGGUGAGGUAAUGGCUCACAUAGGCGACGAUCCCUAGCUGGUCUGGGAGGAUGAUGAGCAACACUGGGACUGAGACACGGCCCAGACUCCUCCGGAGGCAGCAGUGGGGAAUAUUGCACAAUGGGCGCAAGCCUGAUGCAGCCAUGCCGGGUGUAUGAAGAAGGCCGUAAUGUUGUAAAGUACUUUCAGUCGGGAGGCGUUACCGACAGAAGAAGCACCGGCUAACUCCGUGCCAGCCGCCUCGGUAAUUC
rnacentral:rRNA from 1 species